rnacentral:rRNA from 1 species
AUUGAACGCUGGCGGCAUGCUUUACACAUGCAAGUCGAACGGUAACAGGGAGCUUGCUCCGCUGACGAGUGGCGAACGGGUGAGUAAUGCGUCGGAACGUGCCGAGUAGUGGGGGAUAACGCAUCGAAAGGUGUGCUAAUACCGCAUACGUACUGAGGUAGAAAGUGGGGGGCCUUCGGGCCUCACGCUAUUCGAGCGGCCGACGUCUGAUUAGCUAGUUGGUGAGGUAAAGGCUCACCAAGGCGACGAUCAGUAGCGGGUCCGAGAGGAUGAUCCGCCACACUGGGACUGGGACACGGCCCAGACUCCUACGGGAGGCAGCAGUGGGGAAUUUUGGACAAUGGGCGCAAGCCUGAUCCAGCCAUGCCGCGUGUCUGAAGAAGGCCUUCGGGUUGUAAAGGACUUUUGUCCGGGAGCAAUACCCAGUGCUAAUAACGCUGGGGGCUGAGAGUACCGGAAGAAUAAGCACCGGCUAACUACGUGCCAGCAGCCGCCGUAAGAC